CUUGUCUUGCAUCAACAGUGUUUGGACAGAACAG
rfam:Otolemur garnettii contig125833, whole genome shotgun sequence.